UACGAAGGGGGCUAGCGUUGUUCGGAUUUACUGGGCGUAAAGCGCACGUAGGCGGAUCGUUAAGUCGGGGGUGAAAUCCUGGAGCUCAACUCCAGAACUGCCUUCGAUACUGGCGAUCUUGAGUCCGGAAGAGGUGAGUGGAACUCCUAGUGUAGAGGUGGAAUUCGUAGAUAUCGAGAGGAACACCGGUGGCGAAGGCGGCCUUCUGGACAGUGACUGACGCUGAGACGCGAAAGCGUGGGGAGCAAACAGG
rnacentral:rRNA from 1 species